UCAGGUCCUGGGCAUGCUGGCCCGGCUGGCCCCAGUCUCCUCUGCCAGGCCACCAGAUGGGCAGUCUGACUGGCCGGGUGACCCGGGCCGGGACCCUCCCCUCCCUGGGCCUCCCUCGCCUCUACCUGCUCCUCCUACUUGGCAGGGCUGUUGGGGUGUUCUAGAAGCCCCUGGACACCCCAGAAAUGGGAGGGAGCACUUUGAGUAUUCUUUUUACAAAAGGGGAAACUGAGGGCAAGAGCAGGGAAGGGUUACUCCCGUUUAGGAGAGGAGAGGGCUGAGGCCCGGGAGGGGCAGCACUGUCUCCCCCCCAGCCCUGGGUGAGAGAGGGCCAGAAUCACGGGCUCCACCGUACAGUGCAGUAAGCAGAGACACGGGCAGACUGAACGAGCUGUCCAAGGUUACUCCCAGGGACACUUUGUUGCAAAAGCUGGGAUCUGCCCCGGGGGCCCCGCGGUGAGCCCUCCCCUGGGGCGUGGGGGGCACGGCAAGGCCAGGGCUGGUGCCCGCGGAGACGAGGGCUUGGCCGCACUGAGAUCGCCCUCCCAAGCGGCGUCGGGCAGAGAAGAGGAGUCGCGAAGGGACUGCGGCCAGCCAGGGCACUCACCUACCCUGCGGGGCUCAGCCGGGGGGCCUCGUCAUGGCCGGCUCCAGGCCCCUCUCGGCUGCCCGGCUGGAUGUCCGGUGCGGAGCGGGGAGUCUCCUCCCUGCAGGCAGGCUCCUCCUGGGCCGCCUCCUCCUCCUCCUCCUCCUCCUCCUCCUCCUCCUCCUCCUCCUCCUCCUCCUCCUCCUCCUCCUCCUCCUCCUCCUCCUCCUCCUCCUCCUCCUCCUCCUCCUCCUCCUCCUCCUCCCCCUCCUCCUCCACCUGCAGACACACACACCCAGAGCAGAGAAGCAGGUUCAGACUGUUCACAUGCCAAAGGGGAAGUAGAACAGACAAUACAUACUAAAUAAGGAAAAGGUAAUUUGGUGGGAAGGGCAUCAGCAACUGGGCUGCUCAGGGAAGGCUUCCAUGGAGGGCGGUUUUUCAGUACGAUCUUGACAAGAAGGACAGAUCCUGAGACACGGAGGGAAUGAGGAAGCAUCCCUGUCAUGGGGCACAGCUGGAGCGGAGACAGGAGAGGAGGAUGCCUAAGAAGGGGAGGGGCAGGAGGAUUUCUGUUUGAUCCCAAAGGUGAUAUUGGAGUUUCCUGAGGAUGUGGUAACCCUUGUGCUGUAAUUAAAUCACCUUGGCAUCUGCAGAGGUUGGGUUGGCAUGGCGGGAGGCUGGGUGCACCAGCCUCACCGGAUGGUCCCAGGCGCUGCUCCUCCUGGUCCGUGCUUCCUCCAUGUAGUUCUUGUAGCCUCCAGCAGGUGGCACCAGACCCCCUCAAAAUCACAGACUCCCAGCACUGAGGAGCUCAGUCCCUUUCCGCAGACCCCUCUUCUAGAAAGCACCUGUGGACCCCAGCAGGUGUUGGCCUGGCAGAAGGCUGGGCCUCUUGGUUCGG
rnacentral:lncRNA from 1 species